GAUGAACGCUGGCGGCGUGCCUAAUACAUGCAAGUCGAGCGAACGGACGAGAAGCUUGCUUCUCUGAUGUUAGCGGCGGACGGGUGAGUAACACGUGGAUAACCUACCUAUAAGACUGGGAUAACUUCGGGAAACCGUAGCUAAUACCGGAUAAUAUUUUGAACCGCAUGGUUCAAAAGUGAAAGACGGUCUUGCUGUCACUUAUAGAUGGAUCCGCGCUGCAUUAGCUAGUUGGUAAGGUAACGGCUUACCAAGGCAACGAUGCAUAGCCGACCUGAGGGGGGGACCGCCAACAUGGAAAAAGAAACGGGGCCGAGACCCAAGGGGGGGACCGAGGGGGAGAAUUUCCCGAAGGGGGGAAAGGCGAAAGGGAGAAACGGAGGGGGAGAAGGGAGGGUUUGCGGAUGGAAAACCUUUUUUAUGGGGAAAAAAAAAAGGGAAAAGAAAGUGGGAACAUUGAGGGGGACCAAAAAAAAAAGCCCGGGGAAAACAAAG
rnacentral:rRNA from 1 species